ACAGUACAUUUUCUGUCCAGAUAAAGAUGUUGAUGCAGCAUUGAAAAAGGCCGACCACUGACCAAAUGUCUCUUUGUUUUCCAGUCCAUCCCUCAGGACAUCCCGUGCGUGGACGUGCUGUGCCAGUGUGAUUUUUGAGCGCAAGCAUCCAGUUGUGGAGAUCGAGCCUGUGGAUGGACAGAUCAGUAACUCAUCAAAUGUGAUACAACAAUGAAUUUUUCAACAGGAGUGCAUCCCUCAGACCAUCCUGUGCAUGGACAUCCUGUGUCAGUGGGAUCCGAGCGCUGGCGUCCAGUUGUGGAGACUACAGCACAUCGAGCCUGUGAACGGACAGCAGGUGCCGCUUCCAGUGAAUUGGAGCUGACCUUGGACCUGGUGCCAGUGAGGAUAGUCUUCACUGAGGCGUUAAGACCCUCCCUCUUGAUAUAAAAAUCCUUUGACUUCACUGCCCCUUCAAUGAAUCUGCUUCGGAGACGGUUCAGAGAGAGAGAGAGAGAGAAAGAGAGAGAUAACCAUACUGAAGAUCCUCCUCUGUGGGGUCUUGGGACAGAGGGUCGUAGUCUUCGGUCGAGUACAGGUCCUCCACUUGCUGCACCUGGUUGGACAUGGCUGGCUUCCUUCUCUUACAUUCCACACCCAUACGACCGAUAUUGUGAACCUCCAAAAUAGGCUGCAUGGCUACACUGAUAAGCUCUAUGGAGGCAUUUGCAUGUGGUAGAGAGAAUCCCCUGGUCAACUAUAGAGACCUGCCAAGAGGAAGGAUGUUAAGUGCCACAUGCCUUUCAAUGCAUGACUGUGAACACCUUGAAAUGCAUUAGUUGUAAGAAAUGUGCUAUAUAAAUAAAGUUUGAUUUGAUUGAUGACACUGCAGCUGUACAAUAUUUAAUCAACUGUAUUUUUCACAAGAGGGCAAGUACAAUUUUUCCAUAAACUUUUAAUUGAUCACUUGGGAUUUUAUCACUUGACAUAUCAAUCAUAUAGUGGGAAGGAUCCUAUAAAUAAAGACUGUGAAUUAAUGUACCAUCUGUAUAAAUGAAUACUGUGCCUUUGAAGAUUUUUCUCUGGUCAUAAAACUAUAGUACAGGCUGUUCAGUUCAAGUCUCAUCAAUCACAACAUUCUACAACUGAGAUAUCACUCAUCUAAGUCUGGUAUCCAGGGUAAUCUGGUUAAUGAUUAUAUCAUUGAUUGGGGAUUUUUCCUUGUAGAAUGUUGACAGCUGUAUACAACACAUUGUAUUGCUAAGAUGCUCAAACUUACCUUAAAAGCUACACUCACCGACACAGGAUAAACUGUAUCCCUCAUGCUGGCCCUGACCAAAGCAGUACGUUGUAGCUCCA
rnacentral:lncRNA from 13 species